rnacentral:sRNA from 1 species
UGCAUUGUGCUGCAGCAAGCACAAUCCC